GAUGAACGCUGGCGGUAUGCUUAACACAUGCAAGUCGUACGAUGUACGAUGGGGUUUACUCUAUCGUAUGGCAGUGGCGGACGGGUGCGUAACGCGUAAGAACUUACCUUUUGGCGAGGGACAACCGCGGGAAACUGCGGCUAAUACCUCAUAGAGCUGAGGAGCGAAAGGUGGAAACCAACAAAAUAGAGGCUUGCGUCUGAUUAGCUAGUUGGUGAGGGUAAUGGCCUCCCAAGGCGACGAUCAGUAGCUGGUCUGAGAGGAUGAUCAGCCACACUGGAACUGAGACACGGUCCAGACUCCUACGGGAGGCAGCAGUGAGGAAUUUUCCGCAAUGGGCGCAAGCCUGACGGAGCAAUACCGCGUGGAGGAGGAAGGCCCGUGGGUCGUAAACUCCUUUUCUCAGAGAAGAACACAAUGACGGUAUCUGAGGAAUAAGCAUCGGCUAACUCCGUGCCAGCCGCCGCAGUAA
rnacentral:rRNA from 1 species